rnacentral:rRNA from 1 species
CCCUAUGGGGUGCAGCAGCUGAGGAACUUUUACAAUGCUCGCAAGAGUGAUCGAGUAAGCCAGAGUGUUUCUCUUAGAGAAACUUUUGUCUGCUGUAAAAAGGCAGAUGAAUAAGGACUGGGCAAGACCGGUGCCAGCCGCCGCGGUAAUACCGGCGGUCCGAGUCGCAUCCACAUUUAUUGGGUCUAAAACAUCCGUAGCUUGUUUUGUAAGUUUCUGGUGAAAUCUGAUAUCUCAAGUAUCAGGCGUGCAAGAAAUACUACAUUGCUAGAGACCGGAAGACGUAAGGAGUACUGUUGAGGUAGCGGUAAAAUGUGUUAAUCUUGAUAGGACUAACAAUGGCGAAGGCACCUUACGAGUACGGAUCUGACAGUGAGGGAUGAAGGCUAGGGGCGCAAAAGGGAUUAGAUACCCCUGUAGUCCUAGCAGUAAACACUGCUCACUAAACAUCAGUACCUCUUCGAGAGGUAUUGGUGCUGUAGGGAAGCCGAAGAGUGAGCUACCUGGGAAGUAUAGUCGCAAGGCCGAAACUUAAAGGAAUUGGCGGGGAGGCACUACAACGGGUGACGCGUGCGGUUUAAUUAGAUUCUACACCGUGAACCUUACCAGGAGCGACAGCAGAAUGAAGGUCAGUCUAAAGGGCUUACCUGACGCGCUGAGAGGAGGUGCAUGGCC